rnacentral:rRNA from 1 species
AGAUAUCGGGAAGAACACCGGUGGCGAAGGCGGCCUGCUGGGACAGUGCUGACGCUGAGGCACGAAAGCGUGGGGAGCGAACGGGAUUAGAUACCCCGGUAGUCCACGCCGUAAACGAUGGAUACUAGAUGUUGGACACGCUGAAGUGUUCAGUGUCGAAACAAAUGCGAUAAGUAUCCCGCCUGGGGAGUACGACCGCAAGGUUUAAACUCAAAGGAAUUGACGGGGGCCCGCACAAGCGGUGGAGCAUGUGGUUUAAUUCGAUGCAACGCGAAGAACCUUACCCGGAUUUGACAUCCUUCGGACCGUCUCUGGAGACAGAGACUUUCUCUUCGGAGACCGAAGUGACAGGUGCUGCAUGGCUGUCGUCAGCUCGUGUUGUGAAAUGUUGGGUUAAGUCCCGCAACGAGCGCAACCCUUGUUCUUAGUUGCCAGCAUUAAGAUGGGCACUCUAAGAAGACUGCCGAGGUUAACUCGGAGGAAGGUGGGGAUGACGUCAAGUCCUCAUGGCCCUUAUGUCCGGGGCUACACACGUGCUACAAUGGUAUAGACAGAGGGAAGCUACGCCGCAAGGCCACGCGGAUCCUCAAACUGUAUCACAGUUCGGAUCGGGGUCUGCAACUCGACCUCGUGAAGGUGGAAUCGCUAGUAAUCGCGGAUCAGCAUGCCGCGGUGAUAAGUUCCCGGGCCUUGUACACACCGCCCGUCACACCAUGGAAGUUGUCUUCACUGGAAGAUGCUGAGCCAGCCAGGCAGG